UACGUAGGGAGCAAGCGCUAUCCGGAAUCAUUGGCCGUAAAGGGUGCGUAUGCGGAUUACCAGGUCACAAGUGAAAGACUUUGGCUCAACCUAUGUAAGGUUUUGAAGCUGUUAGGUCUCUGAUCGGGGAGAGGAAAGCGGAAGUCCUAGCGGAUGGGUGAAAUGCGUAGAUAUUAGGAGGAACACCAUGGGGACAAGGACGACUUUCAUGGACUGUCCUCUUACGCUGUAAGCGCGAAAGCGCGUGAGAGCGAACAGGAUUAAAUACCCUGGUAGGCCACGCCGUAAACGAUGAAUACUAGGUGUCGGGGGUCGAACCUCGGUGCCGCAGCUAACGCAUUAAGGAUUCCGCCUGGGGAGGACGCACGCAAGUCUGCAACUCAAAGGAGAUGACGGGGACCCGCACAAGCAGCGGAGCAUGUGGUUUAAUUCGAAGCAACGCGAAGAACCUUACCAGGUCUUGACAUCUAUCUGACCGGUCCUUAGCCGGACCUUUACCUUCGGGUACAGAUGAGGCAGGUGGUGCAUGGUUGUCGUCAGCUCGUGUCGUGAGAUGUUGGGUUAAGUACCGCAACGAGCGCAACCCUUAUCUUUAGUUGCCAUCAGGUAAUGCCGGGCACUCUAGCGAGACUUCCGGCGCCAAACCGGAGGAAGGUGGGGAUGACGUCAAAUCAUCAUGCCCCUUACGAUCUGAGCUACCCACGCGCUACAACGGUCGAUACAACGGGAAGCGAAAGGGUGACCUGGAGCAAAUCCUUCAAACUCGAUUUCAGUUCGGAUCGGAGUGUGCAACUCGACUCCGUGAAGCUGGAAUCGCUAGUAAUCGCGCAUCAGCCAUGGCGCGGAGAAUACGUUCCCGGGCCU
rnacentral:rRNA from 1 species